GGAGAAGGUAGAAGUGGUGGAGCAUCUGCUUUGCCUGCAGAAGGUCCCAGGUUCAAUUCUUGGCAUCUCCA